ensembl:lncRNA
UUAAAUGGGGGAUUUCCAAAGAGAGAACGCGUGAUUUUCGCUUAAAUGGUGGGUUCUCGAACCAAAAACGCCUGAUUUUCGGGUUAAAUUGGGGAUUUGCGAAGAGAAAACACGUGAUUUUCGCUUGAAUGGGGGAUUUGCGAAGAGAAAACGCCUGAUUUUCGGGUUAAAUGGGGGAUUCUCGAAGAGAAAACGCGUGAUUUCUGCUUCAAUGGGGGAUUUGCGAAGAGAAAAGUAGUGAUUUUCGCUUAAAUGGGGGAUUCUCAAAGAGAAAACGCGUGAUUUUCGCUUAAAUAGGGGAUUCUCAAAGAGAAAACGCGUGAUUUUCAGGUUAAAUGGGGGAUUUCGGAAGAGAAAACGCGUGAUUUUCGGGUUAAAUGGGGGAUUUGCGAAGAGAAAACGCGUGAUUUUUGGUUAAAUGGUGAAUUUGCGAAGAGAAAACGCGUGAUUUUUGGGUUAAAUCAAGGAUUCUCUAACCAAAAACGCCUGAUUUUCGGGUUAAAUGGAGGAUUCUCAAAGAGAAAACGCGUGAUUUUCGGGUUAAAUGGGGGAUUCUCGAAGAGAAAACGCGUGAUUUUCGCUUAAAUAGGGGAAUUCCGAAGAGAAAACGCGUGAUUUCCAGGUCAAAUGGGAAUUCUCAAAGAGAAAAUGCGUAAUUUUACUUAAAUGGGGGAUUUGCAGAGAGGAAACGCGUGAUUUUCGGGUGAAAUGGGGGAUUUCCAAAGAGAAAACGCAUGAUAUUCGCUUAAAUGGGGGAUAUGCAAAGAGAAAAAUCAUGAUUUUCGGGUUAAAUGGGGGAUUUCCGAAAAGAAAACGCGUGAUUUUCGCUUAAAUAGAAGAUUCUCAAAGAGAAAAUGCGUGAUUUUCAGGGUUAAAUGGGGGAUUUCCAAAGAGAGAACAGGUGCUUUUCUCUUACAUGGGGGAUUUGCGAAAAGAAAACGCGUGAUUUUCAGGUGAAAUGGGGGAUUUGCAAAGAUAAAACACAUGAUAUUCACAUUAAAUUGGGGAUUUCCAAAGAGAAAAU